rnacentral:rRNA from 1 species
AGCAGUAGCCGCGGUAAUACGUAGGUGGCAAGCGUUGUCCGGAAUUAUUGGGCGUAAAGGGCUCGCAGGUGGUUUCUUAAGUCUGAUGUGAAAGCCCCCGGCUCAACCGGGGAGGGUCAUUGGAAACUGGGAAACUUGAGUGCAGAAGAGGAGAGUGGAAUUCCACGUGUAGCGGUGAAAUGCGUAGAGAUGUGGAGGAACACCAGUGGCGAAGGCGACUCUCUGGUCUGUAACUGACGCUGAGGAGCGAAAGCGUGGGGAGCGAACAGGAUUAGAUACCCCUGUAGUCCCUGUCUCUUAUAC